rnacentral:rRNA from 1 species
UACGUAGGGUGCGAGCGUUGUCCGGAAUUAUUGGGCGUAAAGAGCUUGUAGGCGGUCUGUCGCGUCUGCUGUGAAAAUCCGGGGCUCAACCCCGGACUUGCAGUGGGUACGGGCAGACUAGAGUGUGGUAGGGGAGACUGGAAUUCCUGGUGUAGCGGUGAAAUGCGCAGAUAUCAGGAGGAACACCAGUAGCGAAGGCGGCACUCUGGGCCGUGACUGACGCUGAGGAGCGAAAGCGUGGGUAGCAAACAGG